CAGAAUCUAAAUAUCUUGCUUGAUGCUCUGAGCAGUCCAGUCCACACCUUCAGCUUCAAACCCCAUACUGAAAAACACAGGGCUGGGGUCAGCAAAUGCCUGCCUGGCCUGACAGCUGGUGUGGUUCUGAAGCUCCACAACUUUGGCCUAAUCAUCUCUCUCAGGGGUUCUCCUCUCCCCUGUCCUUGGGGAAGGAAACAAGACAAGUCAACCCCAGUGUGAACAAUGUCAAGUUUCAUUCCUUUACUGUUUC
rnacentral:lncRNA from 1 species